UUUGCUUAAUUACAGAUUUAGUGUUUUAAAUUCUGAGUGAAGGGUUCUAUUGAUUUCAUUAUGAUAUGUAUUUUUUUUCUGUCCGUAAACAAUCCUAGAAAUCUUGCUCCAAUUAAAAUAUGACAAGAAACCUUUUUUGUUGCAUUUUAUCUCUAGUCAGUAUUUAAAAAAGGUCAUUUUUUAAAAUUUGCAUUAAUAUUCAAAAUAAUAAGGAAAAAUUGUUUUUUUUUAGGUUAAAAAAGAUUAAAAGACUAAAGAGAAGGUUU